rnacentral:rRNA from 1 species
CAGCAGCCGCGGGAACACGAAGGGGGCUAGCGUUGUUCGGAAUCACUGGGCGUAAAGCGCACGUAGGUGGACAUUUAAGUCAGGGGUGAAAGCCUGGAGCUCAACUCCAGAACUGCCCUUGAUACUGGGUGUCUCGAGUCCGGAAGAGGUAAGUGGAACUGCGAGUGUAGAGGUGAAAUUCGUAGAUAUUCGCAAGAACACCAGUGGCGAAGGCGGCUUACUGGUCCGGUACUGACGCUGAGGUGCGAAAGCGUGGGGAGCAAACAGGAUUAGAUACCCGCGUAGUCCCUGUCUCUUAUAC